UUGGAAUCAGGUGGCGAAAACAAAGCGUCCCGAAAUUAAUAAUGUAUUAUUUGGCUUGGCAGAAGAGGCGAAAGGGUCCCAUAAAAGUGCAAUAUUUUGCAAUAUAUCUCUGAAGAGGCCGAAAGUCGGACUUCAAUAUAGCAGUUUUGUCGGAGACUAUAAAAUAUCUUUUAUUCAAGAGGCUGCCGCUCAUAUUACAUGAUUAGUUUUUGUGCAUUCUGAAGUUAUACAUAAGAACGGAGAGUUCCUUCUCUCCACUACUUUGCUCUCACCCAUAAUUCAUUUGCCAACUUCACUGCGUAUAUUUUAUGAAGUCGUCGGCGUCGAUAGCUCACGUCCUUUUCAGAUUGUGGCUUUGUUUUGUUCGUCUCAAUACAUAUUUAUGAUUUACGGCACGUACGUCAGGUGGAAUCAGCUUUUUACCUCUUCAUCAAUUCCAACGGUAAUUAAUUCGACAAUGACAAGCUCGAAACUUUGACAAAGAUGACCACUCAUCUUAUCCCAAGCGAUUCGAGGUCUUGUUUAUGUGUUUUCACGGAUGAUUUGCUGCUCGAAACAGAGGCUUAUUCAAGAUGAAGACCGCUUUGCGAAUGAUAAAUUUUCUACCAUUACUGACUUAUUGACAAUAUCGACUUUCACAAACACACGAGCGGUGACUCCCUUUUUAAUCAAAUCGCAACGAACUAAUUUCAUUAAAAUUAAACCCUCAAGCACUACUAGUUUUCAUCUUUGUGAUCCGACGCGCCACUAAUUUACUCCAAACUUUGUGCAGACUAUUUUUUUUUAAUUUUUUACAUGGAAAAAUAUUUUACAACGCAUUAAUAAUCUCAAGAAUUAAGUUCCAAAACUAGUAGUAAUCGAAUUAUUCUGUGGAUGAGAUUGGAAAGACAAAACUGCGAGAAAAAAGUAAAUGGAUGUUAAUUUCUCUUAGCAAAUUUAACUCAGCCGUAAUUACGUACUUUUAGGCUUUGCCACCACCGGCCAUUCAUUAAAGUGGAUUGGUUAAUUGAAAGUUCUUUUGGAAAGAAUGAAGCAUGACAAUUUAUCAGCGAAAAAAUCCAAAGAAUUUUGCGCGCUUCGUGCAAGCACAAUCAAUAAGAAACGUCAAAACUGAAAAAACACACUCAUAGGGGUAUUAAUUUUUAUUGUGUUUUUGUGGCUGGUCGAGAUUAAAUUCUUCUAUUUGAUACAGUAAAAGAGUGGGUUUCAAAGGCACAAAGAACAUUUAUCAAUUUAAAAUUAUUCUGUUGAUAAAAAAAUAACUUGGGGGAAUAUAAAUUUAGCGUUCGCUUGUGCUUUUCGGCGACUCUGUGAUGUAUUAAAAUUCUCUUGGGAAUAUAACACUUUUAUAGAUAUUUGGAGACAAUCACUUAUAAAAUAGUGUCUCAUAAAAUCGCGUUUUACACAGUGAAAAAGCCUCACUACUUUUCGCAUAUCUAAAAUGUUUAUUAUCGAUUGAAGAGCUGAAAACUCCUGUUUGCUGGAAUAUCCGCUUAGACGAGCUCGUGAAGAAUCAAAGUGCUGUAUUAUUUCCACUGAUAUAAUAUCGCACAUUUUAUGAGAAUUUUUCAUGUGAUAAAAGCUCGGCAACAGCAGCCGUUGAUUUUUCAAAAUUUCAGCUUUACUGUUGUCGUUUAUUGAUUUUAGUUAAACUUGUACGAGUGGAGUGUGAAAAACGUAAAAUUUCCAGUCACGACUGCACUCUCGACUCAACUAGUCCCAAGUUUUAAAUUUGAAUUGGUAACAAAGCAACCUUUUGUAAUGCAUAACUUAAAUCCACCGACGAGAUGUUAAAACCUAAUCUUGGGCCAUUACAAUUUUUAACAUCAAACUUUAUUAUUAAAAAUCUUACCGAAUUUGUAAGAUUUAUGGCGUGUUUACAUUAUUAGCUCCACAUUUACAGUUUUUGUAACUUGCAUUUCCAUUGAUUUUUAGUAAGUACUAGUAAUAAAGUAAUCGAUAUUAUCAACAAACACUCUAAUUGUGUUAUUUUAGCCUACUUGAAAUUCUCUUUGUUGUUUUAUUAGUUAUGUAUAACUUUUGCAUUAGUACUACUUUAAUAAUUAUAACGGUCACGAAAUGUUAAAAAAAAUUCAAUCACUUGGCAUGGAGUCAGGCAUAUUUGGGUGUGUUUGAUAAUUUCAGCAUUCCUAUGCAAAGUUUGCUCAAAGUCGCAAGAUAAUCACUGAAACAG